AUUCCAGCUCCAAUAGCGUAUAUUAAAGUUGUUGCAGUUAAAAAGCUCGUAGUUGGAUUUCUAGCCGACGUUAGUGGUCCCCAACGCUCAGCGUAGGGCGUACCGCACGCGUCGUCUAUCCUAUCAGUUUGUCUGGUUUCGGCCGGGCUGACUGGUUCUUUUACUUUGAAAAAAUUAGAGUGUUUAAAGCAGGCUUGCGCAAUGAAUACAUUAGCAUGGAAUAAUAAUAUAGGACUUCGGUCUCUACUUUAUUGGUUCUGGAGUUGAAGUAAUGAUUGAUAGGGAUAGUUGGGGGUGCUAGUAUUGAGUGGCCAGAGGUGAAAUUCUUAGAUUCACUCAAGACUAACUUAUGCGAAAGCAUUCACCAAGGAUGUCUUCAUCG
rnacentral:rRNA from 1 species